CUUCUUCCACCAGUGUUUUCUUCUGGCCUGCUGCUUUCUAUAGUGCUGGUUCCCAACCUGUUCUUCAUCUUCUUCUACAAACCAACGUUAAAGCAGAUCCCCUGUACUCCCUUCACACAUCCACCACCCUGUCCUGUCUUUACCUUUCCAUACUGAACCUUCAUCAGCACAGGUUCGACAGUCUAUCUUUAAAAAUCUAUCUUUUUCAUUAGAUAUAAUGUAUCAUUUAACCUUGUAUGUCCUAAUCUUAACAUUAGUAAAAUCUUCUCUACUGUUACUUUUCCUAAUUCUAACUCUCUCUUUUUGAAUGUUAUAACACUCCCUACCCUGGAUGUCCAUAUAUUGCCAAGUUUCCACUAUUCCCUGCUGAAUUACUGAUUUAUACCUCUGACUUUCCAAAACAUAUUUCUAGGUUAUUAUUAUCAUUAUAUUACCAUUAUCAUUCUUGUUUAAUGAUGUUUUUUCCCAACCUAUUUCCUUAAAGAACCCCUUUUCUAUAAUUUAGUAAACUGGCGACUCCUGACUUAGUGUCAUAUUUUAUGGAUAUUUCAUGUCAAAUUUAAAACUGUACAAUGAACCCAAAUAGUGAACUCAGUAGCUGCGAGAAGUUUGUGCAAGUGAUCUGGAUGAGUUUUAAGCAGAAUAUUUCCUGUUUAGACACUAGGUCAUUGUUCUAUUAUACAGCUGCCUUAAUAAUUUACUGUACAUUAACUUUUCUUCACAGAAGUCAAACAAAUGCUGAGAUAUAGGCCCACUGUGUAUACUUUUUAAGCUUUCUAGCACACAUGAAGCUUGGGCUCCGGCAGACCCGAGGUUGGGAACCACUGCUCUACAGCAGCACUGGUCCCUCUCCUGACAGACAGACGUGUACAGAACAGACCAAUGAUAUCACUGUAUAUGCAGUUUAACAUGACAACAUUUCUGAUAGAUGUAGAUUAUAAAAUAUAUGUUAAGAAUGUGAAUCAGUGGUUUUCAAAGGGGACGCCCUUUGAGGAGAAAGAAUGGGAGUAAUUUAUUUUCUCUAUAAUUCCAUCAAUGAGAAACACAAUGACAGAAUGUGUGAAUAUUUUAGUCACUAAUUUUAUAAACUGUAAAAAAAAUAAAUCAUCAUAAAAAAAAUCCUAUCAGAAGAUAAAAUGGGGGUCCAUGGUCUA